rnacentral:rRNA from 1 species
AGAAUGCCGGUGUGAGUAGCGAAAGACGGGUGAGAAUCCCGUCCACCGAUUGACUAAGGUUUCCAGAGGAAGGCUCGUCCGCUCUGGGUUAGUCGGGUCCUAAGCUGAGGCCGACAGGCGUAGGCGAUGGAUAACAGGUUGAUAUUCCUGUACCACCUAUAAUCGUUUUAAUCGAUGGGGGGGACGCAGUAGGAUAGGCGAAGCGUGCGAUUGGAUUGCACGUCUAAGCAGUAAGGCUGAGUAUUAGGCAAAUCCGGUACUCGUUAAGGCUGAGCUGUGAUGGGGAGAAGACAUUGUGUCUUCGAGUCGUUGAUUUCACACUGCCGAGAAAAGCCUCUAGAUAGAAAAUAGGUGCCCGUACCGCAAACCGACACAGGUAGUCAAGAUGAGAAUUCUAAGGUGAGCGAGCGAACUCUCGUUAAGGAACUCGGCAAAAUGACCCCGUAACUUCGGGAGAAGGGGUGCUCUUUAGGGUUAACGCCCAGAAGAGCCGCAGUGAAUAGGCCCAAGCGACUGUUUAUCAAAAACACAGGUCUCUGCUAAACCGUAAGGUGAUGUAUAGGGGCUGACGCCUGCCCGGUGCUGGAAGGUUAAGAGGAGUGGUUAGCUUCUGCGAAGCUACGAAUCGAAGCCCCAGUAAACGGCGGCCGUAACUAUAACGGUCCUAAGGUAGCGAAAUUCCUUGUCGGGUAAGUUCCGACCCGCACGAAAGGCGUAACGAUUUGGGCACUGUCUCAACGAGAGACUCGGUGAAAUCAUAGUACCUGUGAAGAUGCAGGUUACCCGCUACAGGACGGAAAGACCCCGUGGAGCUUUACUGUAGCCUGAUAUUGAAAUUCGGCACAGCUUGUACAGGAUAGGUAGGAGCCUUUGAAACGUGAGCGCUAGCUUACGUGGAGGCGCUGGUGGGAUACUACCCUAGCUGUGUUGGCUUUCUAACCCGCACCACUUAUCGUGGUGGGAGACAGUGUCAGGCGGGCAGUUUGACUGGGGCGGUCGCCUCCUAAAAGGUAACGGAGGCGCUCAAAGGUUCCCUCAGAAUGGUUGGAAAUCAUUCAUAGAGUGUAAAGGCAUAAGGGAGCUUGACUGCGAGACCUACAAGUCGAGCAGGGUCGAAAGACGGACUUAGUGAUCCGGUGGUUCCGCAUGGAAGGGCCAUCGCUCAACGGAUAAAAGCUACCCCGGGGAUAACAGGCUUAUCUCCCCCAAGAGUUCACAUCGACGGGGAGGUUUGGCACCUCGAUGUCGGCUCAUCGCAUCCUGGGGCUGUAGUCGGUCCCAAGGGUUGGGCUGUUCGCCCAUUAAAGCGGUACGCGAGCUGGGUUCAGAACGUCGUGAGACAGUUCGGUCCCUAUCCGUCGUGGGCGUAGGAAAUUUGAGAGGAGCUGUCCUUAGUACGAGAGGACCGGGAUGGACAUACCUCUGGUGUACCAGUUGUCGUGCCAACGGCAUAGCUGGGUAGCUAUGUGUGGACGGGAUAAGUGCUGAAAGCAUCUAAGCAUGAAGCCCCCCUCAAGAUGAGAUUUCCCAACUUCGGUUAUAAGAUCCCUCAAAGAUGAUGAGGUUAAUAGGUUCGAGGUGGAAGCAUGGUGACAUGUGGAGCUGACGAAUACUAAUCGAUCGAAGACUUAAUCAA